UACACCCUACCCUCCAAACUGUUCAUAUGAAAGCAUCUGAUCUAUCAUCUAUCUCUCUGCAGCCUGCCUUUGCUUCUUUGUAUUGCAUCUCCAAGUUCUGCAAUGCCCUUUCAACUUCUUGGGUUUCUUCAUCAGCCCCUCCAUGGCUCCAUGCCCUUUAAGGGAAGCUGAUGAAGAGUUUUGUGCUAACAAGUGGGAAUCCCUUUUCAUUGAUCGAGAAGGGAAGGCCUAAGAUGUUUGAAGAGUUCCCCUAAAGAAACUUCAAUUUUACUAAGCCACUUAAUUAUUGGCUUAUUAUAUCCUCACAUGGAAUCCAUGCAUAUAUAUAUAUAUAUACUUUGGUUAAUUUUCUUGAUGAGAUCAUAUAUAUGCACCAGAUUUUAUUAAAAAUGAACUUUAUAUUAUUUGCA